UACGAGUGCCCCAAGCGUUAUCCGGAAUCAUUGGGCGUAAAGGGUGUGUAGGCGGCAUGGUUAGUCUCCCGUUAAAUUUCCGGGCUCAACUCGGAGUCUGCGGGGGAAACGGCCAAGCUAGAGAGUGCGAGAGGUGAAUGGAACUCAUGGAGUAGGGGUGAUAUCCGUUGAUAUCAUGGGGAACACCAAAGGCGAAGGCAAUUCACUGGCGCAUUUCUGACGCUGAGACACGAAAGCGUGGGUAGCGAACGGG
rnacentral:misc_RNA from 1 species